UUACAAAUCAACGUGGUGCACUAUGUAAAGGAACUAUGUAAAUAUCAGGACCUUGAACUUUAGUAUAAGAACUUCUCUCAAAAUAUAUUUAUAUGAACCACAAACAAAUCUGAAAAUUUUCCUACUAAAAUCAUCCUUCUAGCUAACAGUAUUUUGGGUUUUUUUUAGAACAUCUUUGAAGCCUCAUAGACUGGCUUAGAUUUUUAGCCUAGCAGAUUAAUAAUGUACUAUAAAGUGUGAAGCUGCCAUCAUAAAAUAAAUUUGGAACAUAUACAAGCUCCUAUAUUAAAACAUUGAGGGAAAUGUUAAGGAAUGAAUUAAAGUAUAUCAUUUAUAACUCUAAACAUACAAACAGCAACAUGAGGAUAACCUAGCUAAAAACAAUGCACUUUGAAAUGAAUACUAAAAGACAAGAUAUAUAAACUGUGUAGUAUUUGUAAUUUUAACAUAGUAUGCACUUUUUAUUUUAAAAUAAAGACCUCUGAGAAACAAACACUGACCAGUACCAAUUCUAUAGAAAUAUAAGAGGCUUAAAUCACUAAAAACAAAUUAAAAUCUAAAAUAGAGCCAACACACUUUCGUGUUCCUCUUUAAAAAUAUCUUAUCUUCUUUUCCUAGUGGCUUAUUGAGUAAAACUCCUGAAGCCUCUGAACACUGGACCUUCAUUUUCAGCUUACAUUUUAAGAAUAUGAGAACAAUUUGAUGAUACCAAAUUUUUCAUCUGGAUCUUUGUAAAGGGCUGUUAUUCUCUGACCUAAUAAUGACAGCAAUGAAGAAAGAAGAACCUAGACUUAAGUCACACUACACUUUCUAACAAGUAAAACAACCAUCACUAUCUUACUUCGGAAGCAGAAGAAAAACAGGCCCUAUUAUUGUAUUUUCUGGAUCCCAUUCAUACACUUUCUAUAGGGCAUUACUCCUGAAAACAGAUGAAAAAGCAACAAUUCCAACUACAGAAUUGAGUUAAGUGGUCCAUGUCUGAAUACAACAGAUGACUGGAUUUUUAGCUAUAUUUAUUUCAUAAUUAUUUUAAAAUAAGUUAUAAAUAUUAAUGAUGCUUAUAAAGAAAUGA
rnacentral:lncRNA from 1 species